ACAGCUUUAUCACUUUGAAAAUACCAAUUCUCGCAUGAUCACCAAAGUUAAGCAAUGUUGAGCCUGAUCAGUACCUAAAUAGGUGAUCACUUGAGAAUACCAGGUGUUGUAAG